AGUGCACUAUAUAGGGAACAGGGCGCCAUUACUGACGCAUUGUUCUGCUACAUAUAGACUGGGCCAGACUUCGUAAAACACACCGACCAACCGACGUGGAAUUCUUGAGACGGUUCGAAUGAGCUCUAAUGAAGUGUUCUAGAGUGAUUUGAAGAUGGUUCUGAGAGUUCUAAUGAGGUGUUCUAGAGUGAUUUGAAGAUGGUUCUGAGAGUUCUAAUGAGGUGUUCUAGAGUGAUUUGAAGAUGGUUCUGAGAGCUCUAAUGAGGUGUUUCUAGAGUGAUUUGAAGAUGGUUCUGAGAGCUCUAAUGAGGUGUUCUAGAGUGAUGUGUGAUUUGAAGAUGGUUCUGAGAGCUCUAAUGAGGUGUUCUAGAGUGAUGUGUGAUUUGAAGAUGGUUCUGAGAGCUCUAAUGAGGUGUUCUAGAGUGAUGUGUGAUUUGAAGAUGGUUCUGAGAGCUCUAAUGAGGUGUUCUAGAGUGAUGUGCGAUUUGAAGAUGGU